GGUCAUGCAGGUAGUAAGUAUAAGAGGCAAGAUUUGAACUUCGCUGUCCUCUGAUUCCAGACCCAGAGUUUUUUUCAGUAUGACCACGCUGCUUUCAUCUCUCAGCAUCUCUCUGACAAAACCCGUCUCUGAUUAUCUGUCUGUGUGCCUCUCUGGUUCUGCCUCUGUCUCACUCAUAAUAUUAGUAAAACAGCCUCAGUCCCUGCCUCGAUUCUUUCUGACACUUUUUGAUCCUCCAGUCUUUGUGACUACAAAAUGCCAAAACACCAGGAUGAAAACUGACCCAAAACAACCUGUCAAUAUGUAAGAUUUGGGGCCUAAUGUUAAACCUGAUAUUUGGCCAGGGGAUCAAUUGACAGCAUUGAGUAAUGCUAGUUGGGGACAGGGGAAGGCAGUAACAUUUGGAGCAAAAUAAAAUAUGUGAAAUCUAUUUUUAUAAAGAUAACUGCUAAACAAAGUAAGUAUUUUGAUACACAUAUGUUCACUGUUAAUGUUUAGAGAGGAAAGAGUCAUGAACAUUGAAGCCUUCCAGGAGAACCACUUAGGUCAUCUCAGGAGACACCAGAGUUAUAUCAGAACAGUGUAGGAAAUGAUGAUCUGGAUAAGUACCAAAUUUGUUUGGUUGUUAUGUGGCAAUAAUUUGCCUUUCUUUGCUCACUCUAAAUUUUGUUUAUAUUGUCUUUUCUUCUCUUAAGGGCUUACUAGUCCAAGUUGGAGAAACUCUUAGGGGUGGGGGGGGUGUGUUGGGGAAGGUAAAAGCAACUCAUUAAAUAAGGCCAAGCCUUUACACUGAGGCAAUAGUAGGUAUGUAGGGGCGUAGCGGAUUAUGAAGAGGUUGGGUCGUAUCAGCGGUAAGCUGGAGGAGGGGAAGAGGAGUCAGGGUCACCUGGGGGGGGCACUUGAGUGAGAAAGGCCAGGCUAGAUGGACAUGAAUUGGAUGGGGUGGGGGAGGCAGAAAUGGAUGGGAGUUAAUUAAGUGGGGGCAAAGAGGAUCUAAGACCCAAGAUACUGUUAAAGUUACUGAAUUUAGUCUGAGUCAUGCAAAUUCCAUGAAAGGCACACAAACAAAUCUGUUGAGACUCAUAGCCUAAGCAGAGCUGUAGUCAAGGUUGGAUGGGGGGGUGUGCUUGAGUGGAGAGGAAAAGAGGGCAUUUUCCUCUGCCUGCCGCCUCAAACCAACCUUAACUUUUUCCAGUUCCUGUUGCGAUGAAAGAGUAAGGAUGCUGGAUUCAAGGUCCUAUUAGGUUGCUCGAAGCUGCCUAGAGCGUUCUCUGGAUGGGAAUCAGAUUGGGGAAGCCUUCAAGCUCUGUGUAAAAUGAAGGGAUUUGGACAAGAUAGAGCAUUCCAGCUCUUGGACCUACUAAGAGUGAGCCUUCGGUCAUUGAUGCAACCAGGCCUGAUAAAGGAACUGAGUUUCAGAGUGACUGCCCCAAGGUCACCAGAGUGGCUGGCUACUAAGUCUCACAGGUGGUAUCUGAACCCAGAUCUUCCUAUCUCCACAUUUGACAAGUUUCUGUCAGGAUCACCAUGCCAAGACCAUCCCUCUCUUUUAAUUCUCUCUUUUUACUAUUAGAAGACACUCUGUUUUCCAGAGUUAAGGUCCAGCAAGCUUGGCAUAUCAACAAUCCCUUGUGGCUACCCUCUGGAUGAUCUCAGCCACAGCAAAAUCUCAGAAUUGUUUUACACCAGCACCAGGUAGUCUCUAAGCUCGGACAAACACCUGUAGGAACCAUGAAGCCCUGCUAUGAAUCAAACUUGUUUCAUUGUUACUGUUAUCCCUCAUUGUCAGGGCUACAGCUCACUGCGUAGCCAUUGGUAUAAGUAUUGAAAUUUGUCCACACCAAAGCAGGUCUCCUGCUAGGGGUGCCCUGGCAUAUAUGCACAUAGUUUCCUUUCU